UACGUAGGGGGCAAGCGUUGUCCGGAAUCAUUGGGCGUAAAGAGCGUGUAGGCGGCCAGGUAGGUCUGGUGUGAAAACUCGAGGCUUAACCUCGAGAUGUCAUCGGAAACCAUCUGGCUAGAGUUCGGAAGAGGCGAGUGGAAUUCCCGGUGUAGCGGUGAAAUGCGCAGAUAUCGGGAGGAACACCAAUGGCGAAGGCAGCUCGCUGGGACGUUACUGACGCUGAGACGCGAAAGCGUGGGGAGCGAACAGG
rnacentral:rRNA from 1 species